GCCAGCGAGCUGCGAGGAGUGUUUUAGGAGAGGAAGUGCCCAUCUGUAGUCAAUAGCUAUUGUUCUCAUGGAGCCACAUGCCGGCCUCGCUGCAGCCUGCCGAACUGCGUCACGACACUGCAGUAUCAGCCCCUUUGAAUAAAGACUCCCUGUUGAACCAGAUUUAUCCACCCUACCAUUUUCACUGUCAUUUGAUUAUCUGCUUGUAUUUUCUGGCUGUGCUAAUGCAGUCUUUUAGCAGUGUUAUCAGAGAAUCCCUAUGGCUCAGUAUCUCACAAAGCUGGACAGAUCUCCUUGUGUUUGCUGGUUUUCUUCAUUGCCCUGUCCAUUUGUUGGCUUGUACAAUGGCAACUCUGGGAUUUCUGACCCUGAACUAAACUGCUGCAGGGCUGAGUGGGAGACUUGGCAGCUUUUGCAGGUAAUCUUUGGGAAUGGGGGUACUAUUCUUGUGUAUAGAGCUGCAGGUUACUUUAAGGAACUAGAGCAGUGUCCAAGAGUCCUAAAGGUAAGACAUGUCACAGCAACUGUUUUUAAUAAGGCCUAACUCAUUCUGUUUCUUUGUUUACCCAUCUCCUUCC